rnacentral:rRNA from 1 species
UACGAGGGGGGCAAGCGUUGUUCGGAAUUAUUGGGCGUAAAGGGCGCGUAGGCGGUGCGGUAAGUCACCUGUGAAAACUCUGGGCUCAACUCAGAGCCUGCAGGCGAAACUGCCGUGCUUGAGUGUGGGAGAGGUGCGUGGAAUUCCCGGUGUAGAGGUGAAAUUCGUAGAUAUCAGGAGGAACACCGGUGGCGAAAGCGGCCCACUGGCCCGAUACUGACGCUCAUGUUCGAAAGCGUGGGGAGCAAACAGG